GUCUACGGCCAUACCACCCUGAACGCGCCCGAUCUCGUCUGAUCUCGGAAGCUAAGCAGGGUCGGGCCUGGUUAGUACUUGGAUGGGAGAGCCCAUUUCCUCACAUAUU
rnacentral:rRNA from 1 species